CCUACGGGGAGCAGCAGUGAGGAAUAUUGGUCAAUGGGAGAGAUCCUGAACCAGCCAAGCCGCGUGAGGGAAGACGGUUCUAUGGGUUGUAAACCUCUUUUGUCGGGGCACAAAGACCGGGACGUGUCCCGGAUUGCGUGUACCUGAAGAAAAAGCAUCGGCUAACUCCGUGCCAGCAGCCGCGGUAAUACGGAGGAUGCGAGCGUUAUCCGGAUUUAUUGGGUUUAAAGGGUGCGUAGGCGGUCCGUUAAGUCAGCGGUAAAAUCGCGGGGCUCAACCCCGUCGAGCCGUUGAAACUGGCAGUCUUGAGUUGGAGAGAAGUACGCGGAAUGCGCGGUGUAGCGGUGAAAUGCAUAGAUAUCGCGCAGAACUCCGAUUGCGAAGGCAGCGUACCGGCGCCAAACUGACGCUGAGGCACGAAAGCGUGGGGAUCGAACAGGAUUAGAUACCCUUGUAGUC
rnacentral:rRNA from 1 species